rnacentral:misc_RNA from 1 species
GAAAGCUCUACAAGUGACGCACGGACGCGAGGUCGGUCCUGCCGUGAUCUCGGCAUUCCCUGGCGACAGUGCUCAACUGCUGCGUCGAUCCCGCCUGCGCUUCGCGAUGAUAGGCGGAUUUUCGGUCAGGAUAGACCAUCCGUGCUUGCAUUCGGUGCACGCGAUUGAGAUCUCUAUGAGCGGCCCUUGAAUUGGUGCUACGCCGGUUGGCAUCCCUUUCUCAGCGUUACACUUUGG